rnacentral:rRNA from 1 species
GCUUAUGACCAUGCCACCCUGAACGCACCCGAUCAUGCCUGAUCUUGGAAGCUGAGAGUUAGGGUCAGGACUGGUUAGUACGUGGUUGGGAAAAAAACUGAAGCUGAAGAGGCUGCU